ensembl:miRNA
CCUCCGAAGUUUCCCUCAGGAUAGCUGGCGCUCUCGCACGCGAACCCACGCAGUUUUAUCCGGUAAAGCGAAUGAUUAGAGGUCUUGGGGCCGAAACGAUCUCAAC